rnacentral:rRNA from 1 species
UACAGAGGUGGCAAGCGUUGUUCGGAAUUACUGGGCGUAAAGGGCGCGUAGGCGGUCUUGUAAGUCCUGUGUGAAAUCCCUCGGCUCAACUGAGGAACUGCACGGGAAACUGCUUGGCUUGAGUUCGGGAGAGGGAAGCGGAAUUCCGGGUGUAGCGGUGAAAUUCGUAGAUAUUCGGAAGAACACCAGUGGCGAAGGCGGCUCACUGGACUGGUAUUGACGCUGAGACGCGAAAGCGUGGGGAGCGAACAGG